rnacentral:misc_RNA from 2 species
AACGCAUCUUGCGCUCCUUGGUAUUCUGAGGAGCAUGCCUGUUUGAGUGUCAUUAAGUUCUCAACUACACUUUCUUUGAUUGGUGUAGAUUUGGAUUUGGGGGUUUGUUGGCUUUUUAAAUGUCAACUCUCCUUAAAUUGAUUAGCAGUGUCAUAGCCUAGAACUGUCUACAGGUGUGAUAAUUAUCUACGCCCUAGAUGUCUACAUAACAAUACUGCUUUCUAAUCUAAUAAUGAUUAUCUUGACCUCAAAUCAGGUAGGACUACCCACUGAACUUAA